rnacentral:rRNA from 1 species
UACGUAGGGGGCAAGCGUUGUCCGGAUUUAUUGGGCGUAAAGAGCUCGUAGGCGGCCUGUCGCGUCUGCUGUGAAAUCCCGGGGCUUAACCCCGGGCGUGCAGUGGAUACGGGCUGGCUGGAGGCAGGCAGGGGAGAAUGGAAUUCCCGGUGUAGCGGUGAAAUGCGCAGAUAUCGGGAGGAACACCGGUGGCGAAGGCGGUUCUCUGGGCCUGUUCUGACGCUGAGGAGCGAAAGCGUGGGGAGCGAACAGG